AAGACUAUACUUUCAGGGAUCAUUUCUAUAGUUCAUUAGUAGAGAAGUUUCUCUGAUUGUGUAGAGUACCAGAAACCUAAGGAAGAAACACAGUGCUCUCUCCUGAGUGUGAAGCUGACUCUUGGUGUUGCUUUAUUGCAACUGCCACUUGCCAAAGUACACUUCAACUAGAAAUUAGUCAAAAGAGAUUAAGAAAAGC
rnacentral:snoRNA from 1 species